GAUGAAGAACGUAGCGAAAUGCGAUAAGUAGUGUGAAUUGCAGAAUUCAGUGAAUCAUCGAAUCUUUGAACGCACAUUGCGCCCCUUGGUAUUCCAUGGGGCAUGCCUGUUCGAGCGUCAUUUGUACCCUCAAGCUAUGCUUGGUGUUGGGUGUUUGUCCUUGCUCUAGUGGCGGGACUCGCCUUAAAGUAAUUGGCAGCCAGUGUUUUGGUUUUGAAGCGCAGCACAAGUCGCGAUUCAAGUCUAUACGCUAGUUUCCACAAGUCUUUUAUCACUUUUGACCUCGGAUCAGGUAGGGAUACCCGCUGAACUUAAGCAUAUCAAUAAGCGGAGGA
rnacentral:misc_RNA from 1 species